rnacentral:lncRNA from 1 species
AAUUGGAUUCAUUCAAGAAAUGCAAUUGUUCACAUGACAAUACAGAGUUCCAACAAUCUAGUCUGAUUGAAAAAAUGCUUAAUAUAAAAACUUUCAAGCAUAUCUAGAAAGCCCUAUAAGCAUUUAAAAAAAUGAGUAACACGACUUCAGAUAAAAUGGACUACUAGCUAAUUUUAAUCUCCAACACUACACCACCGCUUCAAGGCAGCUAUCCGGACCCAAAUAAUCCAUACUAAAAACUUCAAUCCCCAGUGACACGGAUUAAUUGCCAAACCUGCAUAGAAUCAAAACACAUACAAAAUUAUAAUAAGCUAUAAAAGCCAGCUCCCAAAUGAAUCCAGAGUAAUCAUAUUAGUUGGUUUCCCAAGCAAUCAUCCAUGGACACACCACUUCUAUAUUAAGGUAUGACGUAAAUGUGGGCAACACACAUGAAGAAAAGCAUACUAGUUACAAGUUCAAAAAAUUAUUCUAUAAAUGUGACAUUUUAUCAUCCAAACAUUGAAAGGUCAACAUCAUUUUAAAACAAACGGAUGGAUAGAUCAUUUCUUAUUCAUAAGUACAACAAAAAAAAUCAAGUUCAUAUGCUCAUGAAAGGAUUAUUUAUACAACUAUAUUAAGAAGUCAGGUAAUAUAGUUCUACAAAUAAUCCUCUGCUGUAAUUCGACAUCAAGGAAGUAAUGAAGUUCAUGUCAAGGGUUUCACUUUGUGUCACCUAUUUGAACCAAGUAAAAGCAAUCAGACAAUGAUUAGCAUGCUAGAGAAACAAUGAGUACAACACGAUGAAGAUGUACUUGCAUCAGCGUUGUUUGCAACCAUAUUAAAACAAAAAUUAAAGAUUCAAUCAGAAAUGCAAAAGAAUAAGGAAGAAAUAAUUUUCUAUACAAGCGAUAAGAUGAAAAUUAUGUAAAGAAAAUUCUGCCAGCAUAUACACUGUACCACACCAUUCCUUAACAAACAGGAAUGACAGUAAACAAGUGAUAGAGAUUAACUUCAAGAUAAUAACAGAAACUAGUUUGUUUGUGGAGUACUAAGCUCUGUACUUGCUAUUGGAUAAAAAAAAUCAAAAUCUAUACUGUAGUGAACUAUGAACCAAGAAAGUAAUUCAUAAACAGUAACUAAUAGUUAGGAAAGCGCGGCUUGAAUUCAUCAUGCUUCGCUUAUAUUCAAGGACUGGUAACAAAUAAGGGAUGUUUACAAGUGAUUUUCCCAAAGCAGACAAGGUUGCCAUCCUCUACUCUUAUCUCCAAAUACACAAGGAGCGAACAUGCAUGCCAUGAUCAAAAAAUAAAUGACUGUAGCAAUAACAGCAAAUAUACCACAGUUGCUCUAGAGCUAUGAUUAAUAUGUACAGAUGUAAUCAACAUUUGAUGAUACUCCCAGGUAAAUGCCAUUAUUGAUGUUAAAAGUUUGCGGGUGAAAUACCACCAAAACAAGAAACUUUUCUGUUGAAUCUUGAAACAGAGGAAAUCUUGUUGAGAGAGAUGUUGGGACUAAUCUUGUUAUUGGUGCUAAUUUAGAUUAUUUGUUUUUGUUGAUCCAUGCAUGUAGUCGUGUCCAGCUACUAGACUGCGGGUGUGUACUCAUGUGAAGAUCAGUUAAUAUGUGUACACGCAAGUUAGUAGUGGAAUUAGAUGAGUUAGUUAGUAGCUACAUGAGAAUAGGUCUUGGUGCAUCCGUGAGUGGAUUUGUGACUCUACCGGUGUGCCUUGCAUGUUGGCCGAGUCGCAUGCGUCUAGAGAAAUUCCAGGAGGUGGAUUAGAGCGUUAAUGGAGUAAGUGCAUGAGGUGUGAGUCUUAUCCUGUACUUGCUAUUUAAGUUGAUCAAGUGAAUGAGAAAGUUUGCAGUCGUGAGGGCAGAAAAACAAUGUAGUCUCUCGUAUGACCAAGAAAGUGUUCUGGGCAAAGCCACUGGUCAUCUUUCUUGGUUGUGAGUGUGUGUGUGUGUGUGUGUGUGUGUUUCCUAGGAGUUUCUUCCAUGAGUAUGUGUUUGAGAGAAACCACAAGAGGAAGAGUAAUCAGAGGUAGAAGAAGAGAGGCGCUGCGAGGAGGUGGCGCCAACAAGAGAGACAGGAGAAGUCGUUACAUUGACAAACUUGUUGGUGUUCGUCAUGAUUUUCUGUGUCAGCCUCGAGGAUCUCUGUUGGGGAAACAACAUCAGCAAAGCACAACUACCGAAUCACAACAAACAGAGGGAGAGAGUAUGGAGGAGGCAUGUCACAUUUGGUACAGGGGACCUGAAGUUAUGGUAGUGAUGUUGAGCUGCAUUCCAGGCGUCCUCACCUGACCCUUUAACCCCCGCAGCAGCUUCUCCAUGGUUGGCGUUCUUAACACAACCUGAUUGAAGCAAAGUGCACAAAAAAGCAUGAUUUUUUUUGCGUCGUCGAGGGUCUCUAUUCAGCACAUCAACAUUCAAAGUAGAGAAAUGGAGUUUCAUCUAAGCAUUUAAGAAAUAUACAUACAUAGCUAGUAUCUGUGAUUGCUAUAAAUGCAAAAAAUUGUAAUCCUGCACCGGUCGCUAUAAAAUUGCUACCCUUGCUUUGGGGUUCAUUUUUAGCUAUGUACUGAAUGAUGAAACUUAGACUCAGAAAAAAUGAAGCUACAUCUGUGGUCAUGUAUUUUUUGUACUUCCUUUUCUUAUUGUGCAGAUUGCUGUAGUUCCAUAAACUGAGGCAUGCAAGUGAUAAACCCCUGGCUCCUAACACUAUAACAUACAAGACGACUAACUGAAGUAUCAUCAAAUCAACAUCAUAUGGAACAGAUACAAAACCAGACCCGUUAUUCUAGUAAUAACAUACAAAACCUAAAUCUGGAUUAUCGACAUACAACAUUCAGAAAUUGCUCCGUCAGGAAAUCACCAAUUUUUUUAUUUUGUAUAUCAGAGGACUGAUACGAGGAAGUACCAGGACAAGAAAAUACACAUUGAUAUGAUGUAUAUGUCUAUAGCAAUGAGGCAAAUGGCAGUAAAACCUUUGAGCUGAUGAGCUGGCAAUCAUCCUGGUUGCGCCGGAAUAUA